rnacentral:rRNA from 1 species
UUAGCUUUCGGGCUAAAGUUAGUGGCGAACGGGUGAGUAAUGUAGGGGAAUCUACCUAGCAGUAAGGAAUAACUCUGGGAAACCAGUGCUAAUACCAUAUAUUACCGAUUUAUCGGGAAAGAUUUAUCGCUGUUAGAUGAGCCCCUAUCGGAUUAGCUUGUUGGUAGGGUAAUGGCCUACCAAGGCUAUGAUGGGUAGCUGGUCUGAGAGGAUGAUCAGCCACACUGGAACUGCGACACGGUCCAGACUCC